GCUGUCCAGAUUACGAGACAAUUUGAAGCGUUACUUUCUUUUCUAAGUGCUGCUGUUCUACAACCAUAAUGUCCCUGGGAAGAGUUUAAGUGGCUCACUACCUUCUUACACUCGUGUUCACCUUUAAUAUCUCAUUCUUGUCCCAGGUGUUACCAGGCAGUUUAUAAAUGGUUGUCAAAAGCAACUUCUGAGUCUUGCUACUGGCCACAGCAGAGGAAAGGAUUGCAGUGGGGGAGAGGGAUAUCCUCGUCUGCUAUCCCAUUCAAUCUUCCUUCCCAGUUUUUCAGGCAGUUUUGCUGCCUAAACAUUAAUACAUAUCCUAGUUAUCCAGAAUGGACCGCGUUUUGUAACCUCUCACUAAUGAGCAUAGCAGAAAUGGAAAUUAAAGAGCAGUUCCUGAUGCCGCCGUGUCUGCUGGCAGCAGGCAGGUUUCUCUCUCAUCACCAGAAGUGUUUCAGAAACUUCCCUUUAAAAAAAAAAAAAAAAAAAAAAAAAGGAUGGCAAUUAAUUACCACGGGGUGGUUUUAAUGUGUGCUUUUAGUAACUUUGCAGUGAAGCCAGGCUUGAUUAUUUUCAGAUGCGGGAGCCCGUUGCCCAGCAGAGGGAGCACAGUCUGCCUGCGGACCCUGUGCAUGGGCAGAAGCGCUCAGAAAGACUUCCUCAGCCCAUACAGCAGGACACCUCUGCUGCGGUUCCCACCAGAUCAGCUGUUUUUGAUGGCUGAGACAGCAUGGGGAGCCCACGCCUGCCCCCAGCCUUGCUUCUCUGUGGUUUCUGCUGAGUGCUGGGGAAAAGAUCCACACUGGUGAGCUAAACCUACACGUAUACACAUAUAUCCAUGUAUUCAUACAUGUAUGUGCACAUAUAUAUAUAUAAAUAUACAAAUAUAAACAUAUAUAAUUAUAAAUAGAUAUAUAUUGAACAUAUAUAUGUAUGUAGAAAUGCAUGUAUUAAUAUUAGAAAUAAAUCACUGGACCUAGAUGAUCUUGAGGUAUUA
rnacentral:lncRNA from 1 species